rnacentral:siRNA from 1 species
UAACCUGAUACUCGUAUAAUCC